AGUACGAUUAAACACGGACGCGCCUCGGCGUAUUCACUCGGUGCCGGCGCUGUCCGCCAGUGUCGUACGAG
rfam:Leptomonas pyrrhocoris LpyrH10_37, whole genome shotgun sequence.